UCAGGAUGAACGCUGGCGGUAUGCCUAACACAUGCAAGUCGAACGAACUCGCAAGAGAGAGUGGCGGACGGGUGAGUAACGCGUGAGAAUCUGCCUUCAGGAUGGGGACAACAGUUGGAAACGACUGCUAAUACCCAAUAUGCCCUAAGGGGUGAAAGUUAUCUCGCCUGAAGAGGAGCUCGCGUCCGAUUAGCUAGUUGGUGGGGUAAGAGCCUACCAAGGCAGCGAUCGGUAGCUGGUCUGAGAGGAUGAGCAGCCACACUGGGACUGAGACACGGCCCAGACUCCUACGGGAGGCAGCAGUGGGGAAUUUUCCGCAAUGGGCGAAAGCCUGACGGAGCAAUACCGCGUGAGGGAGGAAGGCUUUUGGGUUGUAAACCUCUUUUCUCAAGGAAGAAGCCAGUGACGGUACUUGAGGAAUCAGCAUCGGCUAACUCCGUGCCAGCAGCCGCGGUAAUACGGAGGAUGCAAGCGUUAUCCGGAAUCAUUGGGCGUAAAGCGUCCGCAGGUGGCGUAUCAAGUCUGCUGUCAAAGACUAGAGCUCAACUCUGGAAAGGCGGUGGAAACUGGUAGGCUAGAGUACGGUAGGGGUAGAGGGAAUUCCCAGUGUAGCGGUGAAAUGCGUAGAUAUUGGGAAGA
rnacentral:rRNA from 1 species